ACCAAGGCCAGUUCAAAGCAGUAGUUAAUGGAGUUGGAGUGCUUGGAUUCAAAUCCUGCUUAACAACCAGUAGCUGUCUGACUAAAGCAGGCCCUGCCUCAUUCACCUUCUGGUGUGGUGCCAGCCAAGCAGUUCUUCUUGGUGGAUUUUCUCCGGGAAUUACACCCCCCUACAAUUUCCAUAACUAAACCCUGGUUCUGUUCACAUCCUGGCAUCUACUCCUACAGUGCAAACACGGCUCCUGUUCCAACUGCAGACAGCAACGCCAACCUGCACAUCAUUAGCCUUUUCAAAGAGAUAUGAAAUAUCCCACUUUGUUCCUAUAAAUCUUCCAGGCACAACUGCA